rnacentral:rRNA from 1 species
UCCGUAGGUGAACCUGCGGAGGGAUCAUUACACAAAUAUGAAGGCGGGCUGGAACCUCUCGGGGUUACAGCCUUGCUGAAUUAUUCACCCUUGUCUUUUGCGUACUUCUUGUUUCCUUGGUGGGUUCGCCCACCACUAGGACAAACAUAAACCUUUUGUAAUUGCAAUCAGCGUCAGUAACAAAUUAAUAAUUACAACUUUCAACAACGGAUCUCUUGGUUCUGGCAUCGAUGAAGAACGCAGCGAAAUGCGAUAAGUAGUGUGAAUUGCAGAAUUCAGUGAAUCAUCGAAUCUUUGAACGCACAUUGCGCCCUUUGGUAUUCCAAAGGGCAUGCCUGUUCGAGCGUCAUUUGUACCCUCAAGCUUUGCUUGGUGUUGGGCGUCUUGUCUCUAGCUUUGCUGGAGACUCGCCUUAAAGUAAUUGGCAGCCGGCCUACUGGUUUCGGAGCGCAGCACAAGUCGCACUCUCUAUCAGCAAAGGUCUAGCAUCCAUUAAGCCUUUUUUCAACUUUUGACCUCGGAUCAGGUAGGGAUACCCGCUGAACUUAAGCAUAUCAAUAAGCGGAGGAAAAG